ACAACCAUUUAUUCUAGGUAUAUGAUAUAAUUUUGACUUAAUGUUGGAGAUACAAUACUAUACUAUACUAUACUAUCUUCCAGUUUGAAUAACAAGAGAAUAUCUAACUCACCUAAUUGUUCAAAAGGUCACAAAGAUUAUGACAAGGACUCUACAGAGCACCAUGAAGAAGUUGCUGAUCCACAGAUGAGAAUCCUGGUCCUUCUCUCCAUCACAAGAACUGGAGUUCUCCUCUGCUGUCUGACCAUCUUCAUCAUCAUCUACACUGCCAGGAAAUAGAUAAAGCUAAGGCCAAUAUCAAUAGAGUAUAUGCAGUAUGUUACUUGCUUUCGCCAACCCCUGUAUAUGCACCUGUUGUAUGUAAGAAUUAGUAAAUAGCACUUUGAAAAUUGAUACUGACUGAAGUCGAUAUGUUUUGAGUGCACGGGUCAGAGGUUUUCAUGAAGGAAAAGAGUUGACAAAUGUAUUAAUAAAGUUCACAUUUUUGUAAGGUUACAAAGUAUCUGCAUAUUUUCCACUUGUUAAAUGCUUUCUGGAAUUUAAAGGUUUUUAGUUCAUUGUUUGUAUUCUUUACAUACAUACUUUGAACAUCUUGUUGAGCAGCAAAGGUCUUGUCUGGUGUUUAUCAUCCAGAUAAACAGAUGAAGAGAAGUGUGGAUAGAAUGUGUGUUGUUUUGAUGCACUGAGGGUUGUACAGUUCUUUCAGAAAGUAUUCACACCCCUAGACUUUUUCCAAAUGUUGUUGUGUUACAAAGUGCGAUAGAAAUGGAUUUAAUUGUCUUUUUUUAAACACAAAAUACUCUGCUAUGUUAAAGUGGAAGAACUUUUUUUACAUUUGUAAAAUGUUAAUGUAAAAUUAAACCCUAACUAGUUAAUCUUGAGUCACUAAGUAUUCAACUCCCUGAGUCAAUACAUGUUGGAAUCACCUUUGCCAGCGAUUAAAGCUGUGACUAUUUCUGGGUAAGUCGCUAAGCGCUUGCCACAGCUGGUUUGUGCAACAUUUGCCAAUAUUAUUUUUCAAAUUCAUCAAACUCUGUCAAAUUGGUUGUUGAUCAUUUCAACUCAAUAUCAGGAAGUUGAUCUUAAUGAUUUGUACACGCAGUGGAUAUUGAAUGGUUGUUUUAUAAUUGACUGUUGUUGUUGUUGCUGUGCUCUGUCCCCCUAUUCCAAGCAGUAGUCAAAAAUACCCUUCUGGCAGCCUUCAUUGUCAGGGUCUGAGGUAGAGUAGGAGGGACCAGUGAGCAACGUAUCACCACCUCAAAUCCCAUUGCAUGAAAAAUUUAGAGGAGAGGGACCUCUGGCUUUCUCAUCCAAUGAGUUUAGAGUUAGGAGUUAGGAGUUUGCAAUUGAGAUUCACCACUGCUGAGGUGAACAAGACUUGCCUCAUGACAUAACAUUUGUCGGGGAGACAGUGGAAUAUUUUUUAAAGAACAACUAUUUACAAUCGAUUCCCUGUAUGUUACCAUCUUUUGAAAUGAAAGAUGACAUAGCCCUUGGGUAAUAUAUCGAAUUCUGUGGAUUGGGUUGUGUAUUGGAAUUCCCCUUGGGUUGUGCCGGGUUGUGCCGUGGCGGAGAUCUUUGUGAGCUAUACUCGGCUUUGUCUCAGGAUGGUAAGUUGGUGGUUGAAGAUAUCCCUCUAGUGGUGUGGGGGCUGUGCUUUGGCAAAUUGGGUGGGGUUAUAUCCCGCCUGUUUGGCCCUGUCCAGGGUAUCGUCGGAUGGGGCCACAGUGUCUCCCGACCCCUCCUGUCUCAGCCUCCAGUAUUUAUGCUGCAGUAGUUUAGGUGUCGGGGGGCUACACAAACACAGCAACGUAGUCUUUUUUUAGUGAUCUCUCAUUCAUUAUUUACACUCAAAUGAAAAGAUGGAUAGAAUGCCCUCCCAUGAUAGUGUUAUUGAGGUGGUGCAUUGUUCUAGUGGCCUAACAUCACACUUGAGCAUAGAAGGUAUUUAGAUCGUCUGGUAGGCUUGCGUCACCAGACAGCUAACAGCUGGGUUUCCCUUUGUAAUCUGUGAUAGUUUGCAAGUCCUGCCACAUUCGACGAGCAUCAGAACCGGUGUAGUAGGAUUCUGUCUUGGUCCAGUCGGUGCUAGUGAAACAGUCCUGUAGCUUAACAUCCGCUUCAUUGGAACACCUCCGCAUUGAGGGUGUAGCUGGUACUUCCUGUUUGAGUUUUUUGCUUGUAAGGAGGAAUCAGGAUGAUACCGCUCCUGUCCCAGCCUCCAGUAUUUAUUCUGCAAUAGUUUGUGUCGGGGGUCUAGGAUCAGUCUGCUAUAUUUGGAGUAUUUCUCCAGUCUCAUCCAGUGUCCUGUGUGAAUUUAAGUAUAAUGUUUCUUUCUUUCUUUCUCUCAGAGGACCUGAGCCCUAGGACCAUGCCUCAGGUCUACCUGGCCUGAUGACUCCUUGCUGCCCCCAGUCUACCUGGCCGUGCUGCUGCUCCAGUUUCAACUGUUAUGCCUGCGGCUAUGGAACCCUGGCCUGUUCACCGGACAUGCUACCUGUACCAGACCUGCUGUUUUCAACUCUCUAGAGACAGCAGGAGCAGUAGAGAUACUCUGAAUGAUCGGCUAUGAAAAGCCAACUGACAUUUACUCAUGAGGUGCUCACCUGUGGCACCCUCAACAACCACUGUGAUUAUUAUUACUUGACCCUGCUGGUCAUCUAUGAACAUUUGAACAUCGUGGCCAUGUUCUGUUAUAAUCUCCACCCGGCACAGCCAGAAGAGGACUGGCCACCCCUCAUAGCCUGGUUCCUCUCUAGGUUUCUUCCUAGGAUCUGACCUUUAUAGGAAGAUUUUCCUAGCCACUGUGCUUCUACACCUGCAUUGCUUGCUGUUUGGGGUGUUAGGCUGGGUUUCUGUACAGCACUUUGAGAUAUCAGCUGAGGUAAGGAACUUUUAACCAAAAUCAUAAUACUUGUGGUGGUAUACUGUACUUUAUAUUUAAGUGGAAAUAACACAUACAUAAAUACAUUUUCUGCAAAUACAUUUUUGGGUACUUUGUGUUUAUAAUAGCGUCACUGAUAGGACUAUUUAUAUUCCGCUGUGGUAAACUCAUCUCAUUCUUUCUCUCUCUCUGAUGAAUACGAGCAACCUGAACCACAGGAAGACUGACCUGGAGCUCUUAUCUUUCACCACACUGAUCUGUUGUUCUGUUUAAAUCUCUCUCUCUCUCUCUCUCUCUCCAUCUAAGUCACACUCUCUCUUCUUCUUCUUCUUUCCACCAAUCAGGCCCCAUAUCUCUUUCCAUCCAUAACUCCAGACUAAAAACACCUGACCGGCCCAGAUGGCAUCCCUAGCCGCAUCCUCAGGGCAUGCGCAGACCAGCUGGUUGGUGUGUUUACAGACAUAUUCAACCAAUCCCUAUCCCAGUCUGUUGUCCCCACAUGCAUCAAGAUGGCCACCAUUGUUCCUGUUCCCAAGAAAGCUAAGGUCCACUGACAGUGUGCAGUGUGAUGCAAUGGCCAUCACACUGCACACUGUCCUAUCCCGUCUGGACAACAGUAACACCAUAGUACCUUCCAAACUUGUCAUUAAGGUUGAGACCCUGGGUCUCUACCCCGCCCUGUGCAACUGGGUCCUGGACUUCCUGAUUGGCCACCCCCAGGUGGUGAAGGUAGGAAACACCAUCUAAACCCUGCUGAUUCUCAACACUGGGGCCCCACAAGUGUGCGUUCUCAGCCCUCUCCUGUACUCCCUGUUCACCCAUGACUGCAUGGCCAUGAACGUUUCCAACUCAAUCAUCAAGUUUGCAGACAACACUACAGUGGUAGGCCUGAUUACCAACAACGAAGAGACGGCCUACAGGGAGGAGGUGAGUGCCCUCGGAGUGUGGUGUCAGGAAAUAACCUCUCACUCAACAUCAACAAAACAAAGGUGAUGAUCGUGGACUACAGGAAACAGCAGAGGGAGCACCCCCCCAUCCACAUUGACAGGACAGUAGUGGAGAAGGUGGAACGUUUUAAGUUCCUUGGCGUACACAUCACGGACAAACUGAAAUGGUCCACCCACACAGACAGCAUGGUGAAGAAAGCGCAACAACACCUCUUCAACAUCAGGAGGCUGAAGAAAUGUGUCUUGUCAUCUAAAACACUCACAAAAUUUAACAGAUGCACAAUCGACAGCAUCCUAUCGGGCUGUAUCACUGCCUGGAACAGCAAUUACAUCGCUCUCAACCGCAAGGCUCUCCAGAGGGUAGUGAGGUCUGCACAAAGCAUCACCGGGGGCAAACUACCUGCACUUCAGGACACCUACACCCCCCGAUGUCACAAGAAGGGCAAAAAGAUAAUUCAAGGACAACAACCACUCGAGCCACUGCCUGUUCACCCCGCUAUCAUCCAGAAGGUGAGGUUAGUAGAGGUGCAUCAAAGCUGGGACCGAGAGACUGAAAAACAGCUUCUAUCUCAAGGCCAUCAAACUGUUAAACAGCCAUCGCUAACAUAGAGAGGCUGCUGCCAACAUACAGACUCAAAUCUCUGGCCACUUAAAUAAAUGGACUUAAGAAAGGUAACACCAGUCACUUUAAAUAACACCACUUUAAUAAUGUUUACAUAUUCUACAUUACUCAUCUUAUAUGUAUAAACUGUAUUCUACACCAUCUAUUGCAUCUUGCCUAAGCCACACGCCAUUGAUCAUCCAUAUAUUUUUAUGUACAUAUUCUAUUCAUCCCUUUACAUUUGUGUGUAUUUGGGUGUAUAAGGUAGUUGUUGUGAAUUUGUUUGAUUACUUGCUAGAUAUUACUGCGUAGUCAGAACUAUAAGCACAAGCAUUUCGACUACACUCACAUGAACAUCUGCUAACCAUGUGUAUGUGACCAAUAAAAUGUGAUUUGAUUUGAUUUGAUAACCAAACUACACCAGGUUCUAGACUAGAAAGUUGUGUUCAACGUAAGAGGAGUACAAACAAAGACAAACACUAUUAUGUUUAUUUACUGUUGUUAUCAUAAUUGUUUUGCUGAAGGUAAUUGAAUGUGUAUGUAUAAUGGUGACACUGAUAGGCCUAGUUAUUUUCCACUGUGGUAAACUCAUCUCAUUCUCUCUCUCUCUGCUGAAGACGAGCAACCUGAACCACAGGAAGACUGACCUGGAGCUAUCAGCUCUCACAACACUGAAAUCUCUCUCUUAAGCUCUCUCAUGCUCUCUCUGUUCACUUCACACCACUUGCUCUCUCUCUCAUUUCAAUUUAAUUUACAGGGCUUUAUUGGCAUGGGAAACAUAUAUUUACAUUGUCAAAGCAAGUGAA